AGAGACUUACUCAAGCAUCCUUGGAAAUCCCACAUAACUUCUCCUCUCUCAAAGUCUGAAAACCCCAACAAAACAAAAACAGACACAGAAGAAGAUAAAGUGUGUCCAAUGUUAUAAUCACGCUCUUUUGUUUGGGUCGACAGGCCCCCAUCCUCUUUGAUUGGCAUUCUAAACAAGGAUGGUCUCCCUUGCCCUCCGCAGCGUGUCUCUUGACAGAUUUGGGUUGGCUGUGACGUAUCUUGUCCCUGAUCAUCGGACUCUUGCCUGUUUGUAAGUCGGUGCUUAGAGGAGCGUGAGAGGUAAAAUGCCUAAAUCAUUUUUGAGUGUAUUAAGUUAAUGUUUCUACAAUAUUGUGAUGCUAAUUAGAACAGAGUUGUUCGACCAAAAAAAUAUUCGAAGAGAGUUGUUUUUGUGAUUGGAAUUUACUUUUUCACUAAAAAGAUUUAUUAUUAUUAUUUUCCCAAUACACAGGAGGAACAAAGUUACAAUUGGAAAAUGAAUGCUAAUUAGAAGAACACACGUGGAUUGCCGAGAGCACCAACACCACCACAUAUAGCAAUUGACCAGUUCGACAUCCGGUGUGGAUCACAAUCAACAACAUCAUCUGCUGUCACAUCAGAGCUUUUGAUUUAAUUUCUACCGACUCCAAAGUGCAGUUGGAUUGGAUUAUAUACCAUCUCAUCUCAGAUUGCAAACCACUCUGCCACUUUUGGAUUGGAAUUCAACGUCUAAUAAUCUGCUUUCUUUUGUUAAUUAUAUGAGUCUAUACACAAAGAAAACAAAAUUCAGGUGAGCAUUGUUUAUACCUUGGCACCAAAGUCAGCACCAGACUAUUGACAUCUUCAACUCGUCCCCAAACAAGUCUGUUAUCUCUAUAUGCACUAUAUCUUAUUGUAGUUCAUUUUGUCACAUGUUCUUAGAGUUAUAGCCUGCAUAUAAAGAUAACGGACUUGUUGGAGGACGAAUUGAAGGUGGUAACAACAGUCGGGUGGUGACUUUGGUGCCAAGAUAUGAAAAAUGGCCACCCCAUUUUUGUAUAUGCAUAGGCCCUACUUAUAAAUUAACAAAGGAAAAACAGAUUAAAGUAACAUAUGAAAGAUAUCAUAUAACAAACACACAGAGACUGCAAAGCUUACUCUUAACAUAUAACAUAGAUAGAGAGACAGAGGAGGCUGUGUUUGACAGUUCAAUAACACCAUUAAACUAAAACUAACUA